rnacentral:rRNA from 1 species
AGAGAGAUUAAGACCGCAUAACGUUAUUGAAUGGCAUCGUUUAAUAACCAAAUAUUUAUAGGAACAAGAUGGGCAUGCGGAACAUUAGCUAGUUGGUAAGGUAACGGCUUACCAAGGCUACGAUGUUUAGGGGAUCUGAGAGGAUGACCCCCCACACUGGUACUGAGACACGGACCAGACUCCUACGGGAGGCAGCAGUAAGGAAUAUUGGUCAAUGGGCGGAAGCCUGAACCAGCCAUGCCGCGUGCAGGAAGACGGCCCUAUGGGUUGUAAACUGCUUUUAUACGGGAAUAAACCUACUUACGUGUAAGUAGCUGAAUGUACUGUAAGAAUAAGGAUCGGCUAACUCCGUGCCAGCAGCCGCGGUAAUACGGAGGAUCCAAGCGUUAUCCGGAUUUAUUGGGUUUAAAGGGUGCGUAGGUGGCUUUUUAAGUCAGGGGUGAAAGACGGCAGCUUAACUGUCGCAGUGCCCUUGAUACUGAAGAGCUUGAAUCCACUAGAGGUAGGCGGAAUGUGACAAGUAGCGGUGAAAUGCAUAGAUAUGUCACAGAACACCAAUUGCGAAGGCAGCUUACUAUGGUGGUAUUGACACUGAGGCACGAAAGCGUGGGGAUCAAACAGGAUUAGAUACCCUGGUAGUCCACGCCCUAAACGAUGAAUACUCGAUGUUGGCGAUAUACGGUCAGCGUCUAAGCGAAAGCGUUAAGUAUUCCACCUGGGGAGUACGCCCGCAAGGGUGAAACUCAAAGGAAUUGACGGGGGCCCGCACAAGCGGAGGAGCAUGUGGUUUAAUUCGAUGAUACGCGAGGAACCUUACCCGGGCUUGAAAGUUAGUGAAUAAAGCAGAGACGCUUUAGUCCUUCGGGACACGAAACUAGGUGCUGCAUGGCUGUCGUCAGCUCGUGCCGUGAGGUGUUGGGUUAAGUCCCGCAACGAGCGCAACCCCUAUGUUUAGUUGCCAGCACGUCAAGGUGGGGACUCUAAACAGACUGCCUAUGCAAAUAGAGAGGAAGGAGGGGACGACGUCAAGUCAUCAUGGCCCUUACGUCCGGGGCUACACACGUGCUACAAUGGGCAGUACAGAGGGCAGCUACCUGGCAACAGGAUGCCAAUCUCUUAAAGCUGUUCACAGUUCGGAUCGGGGUCUGCAACUCGACCCCGUGAAGUUGGAUUCGCUAGUAAUCG